CAAAGUGCUGAGAUUGCAGGCCUGAGACACUGUGCCUGGCCUUAAACACAAAUCUUAAUUCAUUCUUACAAUUAUUCUGAGGUUACAAAAAUGGAAGGGGAAGAAAAAUGGCAAGUAGGUAGGCUGACUUCGGCUUCAUUAUUUGGAAGGACAGUUUGCUCGGUUAAAACACACUACUGCCUACAAAGGCCAAGACAACAGAAAAAUACAGACUUACAUAAAUAGAUUUUAUAUGUGACAGCAGUUUGAAUGGAGACUUUUUCAAUGCAAUGAGAAACAGCUGUGCUUGGGAAUAAAUGACAACGAAUUUUUUUAUCUCAACAGCUGUCCUGAGAGCAUGUCUCUACAUCUCUACCUGCAUUCUGGAAUCAGGGAGAAAGCCAAAACGGACGACAAGACACUAGAUCAGCCGUGUCCAACCCUUUGCCUACAAGGACUUUUCCACCUAUCUGUGGUGGAAACCCCUUGAGGUUAAGACCCCACAAUCACAUGAGGAUGGAGUGGCUCACCCUCAGUCAACAGGCCAGACUCAAGGGGUUCCUGGCAAGUCAUUUCUCCCUCAGGCCUUCGGUUUCCUCACCUACAAGAUGAGAGGGCUGGACCAGAUGGAAAUUCAGGGGGUAAGGG
rnacentral:lncRNA from 1 species